AUACGGAGGGUGCAAGCGUUGCUCGGAAUCACUGGGCGUAAAGCGCGCGCAGGCGGCUUGAUAAGUUGGAUGUGAAAGCCUACGGCUCAACCGUAGAACUGCAUCCAAAACUGUCAGGCUAGAGUGUGGGAGAGGAAGAUGGAAUUAGUUGUGUAGGGGUAAAAUCCGUAGAGAUAACUAGGAAUACCAAAAGCGAAGGCGAUCUUCUGGAACACUACUGACGCUGAGGCGCGAAGGCGUGGGGAGCAAACAGGAUUAGAAACCCUAGUAGUCC
rnacentral:rRNA from 1 species